rfam:Kyrpidia tusciae DSM 2912, complete genome.
GUUGUAUCAGGGCAAACUAGCGGAAACGCUAGGACGCAAAGCCACGGGUCUAAGGGCACAUGUGCCUAUGAUCGCCGGGUUGCCACU